rnacentral:rRNA from 1 species
AGAGUUUGAUUCUGGCUCAGGACGAACGCUGGCGGCGUGCCUAACACAUGCAAGUCGAACGUGAUCUUCGGAGUAGUUUACUACACCGGAGUGAAAGUGGCGGACGGGUGAGUAACGCGUGGGUAACCUGGCCUAUGGAAGGGGAUAGCCUCGGGAAACCGGGAUUAAUACCGUAUGUAGUUGAGAUAUCGCAUGAUAUUUCAAUGAAAGAUUUAUCGCCAUAGGAUGGACCCGCGUCCCAUUAGCUAGUUGGUGAGAUAACAGCUCACCAAGGCGACGAUGGGUAGCCGGCCUGAGAGGGCGGACGGCCACACUGGGACUGAGACACGGCCCAGACUCCUACGGGAGGCAGCAGUGGGGAAUAUUGCGCAAUGGGGGCAACCCUGACGCAGCAACGCCGCGUGAAUGAAGAAGGUCUUCGGAUCGUAAAGUUCUGUCGAAGGGGAAGAAAUAAAUGACGGUACCCUUAGAGGAAGCCCCGGCUAACUACGUGCCAGCAGCCGCGGUAAUACGUAGGGGGCAAGCGUUGUCCGGAUUUACUGGGCGUAAAGGGCGUGUAGGCGGUUUUUUAAGUCAGAUGUGAAAGUUCGGGGCUCAACCCCGGAAUUGCAUUUGAAACUGGAGAACUUGAGUACUGGAGAGGUAAGUGGAAUUCCUAGUGUAGCGGUGAAAUGCGUAGAUAUUAGGAGGAACACCAGUGGCGAAAGCGACUUACUGGACAGAUACUGACGCUGAGGCGCGAAAGCGUGGGGAGCGAACAGGAUUAGAUACCCUGGUAGUC